rnacentral:rRNA from 1 species
CCUACGGGAGGCAGCAGUGAGGAAUAUUGGUCAAUGGCCGCAGGGCUGAACCAGCCAAGUCGCUUGAGGGAUGACGGUCCUAUGGAUGGUAAACCUCUUUUGUCAGGGAGCAAAGGGCGCCACGUGUGGCGCUUUGCGAGUACCUGAAGAAAAAGCAUCGGCUAACUCCGUGCCAGCAGCCGCGGUACUACGGAGGAUGCGAGCGUUAUCCGGAUUUAUUGGGUUUAAAGGGUGCGCAGGCGGAAUGUCAAGUCAGCGGUAAAAUUUCGGGGCUCAACCCCGUCGUGCCGUUGAAACUGGCGUUCUUGAGUGAGCGAGAAGUAUGCGGAAUGCGUGGUGUAGCGGUGAAAUGCAUAGAUAUCACGCAGAACUCCGAUUGCGAAGGCAGCAUACCGGCGCUCAACUGACGCUCAUGCACGAAAGCGUGGGUAUCGAACAGGAUUAGAUACCCGAGUAGUC